UGAUGGAGGUUGAGAAGUCCAACUUCAAGGCACCACAUCUGGUGAGAGCCUUCAUUCCGAUGACAGCCUUCAUGCUGCCUCAACUCUGGGGAAGCUCCAAGACAGGUAAAAUACAGCAACCUGCAGCAGGAAAAUGGGCUUCAGUUUUCAAGUCUGCAGCUGAGUUGGGAAGUUGCGGACAGUAACCAGGUAAGUUAAAAUUCACAAAGCUCUGUUACUGACACUCAGCUUUUUUUUUUUUUAUCAUUAAGCUUUCCCCUGGUUGUUGUAACUUUUUUAUUGGAUUCUAAAGUUCUGAAAAAGUUCAUUGUGAUAAUUUUUGCAAGCUUUUCAUUGCUUUUGUGGAGACAUAAUGUUUUGGAGCUCUCUACUCUGCGAUUUUCACUGAUAUCUGUCCAAAGGAGAGAGUGGGAGAGAUGGAUCUUAUAUCACUCCAUAAAAGUGCAGCCUCUAGGCCAGAUCCCAUUAGAUUUGGCUGGGAGUCUAGGAUAAUUAAACAUUCACAUACUCUGUAACCCAGAAAUUUCACUAAUAUAUAUCCUACAACAACUUUUGCACAUGUGCAUAAAAGAAAUUCAUAAAGGCAUUCAUAGCAAGAUUGAAACUUUGUAUUCUACCUUCUUUUCUGAAAGCAUUGGAUACAAAGGUCUACGUCUCUGGCCCACUGCUGAAGUCACCUAGAAUUUUAAUUAUAUGGAUAAUUAUUUGGCAGAGUGCUUAAGGAGAAAUAAAAAAGGGUUUCAAAAAACUACUGAUUUUUUUUUUUAAGAGAAAUCUUGCUCUGUCACCCAGGCUAGAGUGCAGUGGCACGAUCUUGGCUCACUGCAACCUCCACUUUCCGGGUUCAAGUGAUUUUCCUGCCUCAGCCUCCUGAGUAGCUGGGAUUACAGGUGUCUGCCACCACGCCUGGCUAAUUUUUGUAUCUUUAGUAGAGACGGGGUUUCACCAUGUUGGCCAGGCUAGUCUUGAACUCCUGACCUCAAGUGAUCCUCCCACCUUGGCCUCCCAAAGGCGAGAGCCACCGCACCUGGCCUCAUUCCUUUUUUAUUCUGGGUAAUUUUAACAUAUCAUCUGACUGACAAGCUACUGCUAAUAAAAUAUAAACUGAAAAUAGAUUUUUUUCUUCCUUGUCUAGACUAUUUAAUUUUGUUCUUCUUUGCUAUUGUCUAGUUCUAGAAAAAGCGCUUAGUGUGAAAUUUGUGGGAAAGAUGCUGUUCAGAGUUUAAUUUCAUUAUGUAGUUAACCAAUGAAAAUCCAGCGGAAAAAAAAGGUAAACAUUUUUAGGAGAUGGUAAAAACUAUUUAAAAAAUGGAAAGUUCAUAGACAUAAUUUUUCUGAAAUAGAACAUUCAGUCAAUAGAGUUGAAAACUGAAUAAAUGAAUACAUGAUUGAAUGGUUGAUUCAAAUGCAUCAUUAAUUAAUUGGAAAUAAUUGACUGUGUCACUUGGUCCUAAAAAUAUUCCUCUAAGAAAUCAUUAGCAUUAUCUGGAAAACUUUAAAAAGUGAUACCCAAAGCCCAGUUUAAUUGAAUCAGAAUCUCUGGAGGAAGGGCUUAGCCAUUAUUAUUAUUAUUUUUUUUUUUUCUGAGAUGGAGUUUCACUCUUGUUGCCCAGGCUUGAGUGCAAUGGUGCGAUCUCAGUUCACUGCAACCUCCACCUCCCAGGUUUAAGUGAUUCUUCUGCCUCAGCCUCCCGAGUAGCUGGGGUUACAGGCGCAUGCCACCGUACCUGGCUAAUUUUUGUAUUUGUUGUAGAGAUGAGGUUUCACCAUGUUGUUGCACAGGCUGGUCUCGAACUCCUGAGCUCAAGUGAUCCGCCUGCCUCUGCCUCCCAAAGGGCAGAGAUUACAGGCAUGAGCCACUGCACAUGGCCCUUUUAGACCUCUUUUAAUCUUUGGGUUUCUUCAAAACCAUUUGCUUCCCUUGCAAUUUAUUUUUGGGAUAAACCAGUUGAUACUGUAGGGCUUCCCACAGUUUAGAUUUUGCUGAUUAUAACUUUAUGGUGUUAUUUAACAUGUUCCUUUGUCCCCUCUAUUCCGCAUAGAUUGUUCGUCUGGUAAGGAUAUAAUAAACUUAUUAAAUGUUAGCCCAUUGUGUCAUUCCUCCUUAGUAGGGGUUAAGAAUUAUGCUGCCUUCAGGAAGGGGUCUGCAUGUUGAGGUUGCCCAGGUCUGAGUGCAACUAGGAUAUACAAUGGGAGUUGAGAUCAUCAUUGUGGGGCAGGAUAGUGUAGAAAAUGGCAGGGAAGCUGCUCUUUGCCUCACCUCCUCACAGCCUCUGUUCUUGACAUCUGCCUCUCUCUUAGAGUGGUGUGGAACAUGUCUCUUCUCUGAACUCCCUCUCCUUUAGUCCUGUCACACUGAAGACAUUGCUGGAGGCAUUUCUGCCACCUGGGUGAAUCAAAGAACCAACUAAUUUGUGAGGAUGUGUAGAGGAGGCAUUCCUAACUUUCCACUUAUCUGUUAAGACCCAGUUGAAAUCUUUCAUCUUGGAGCGGGGGACAGUGAUCCUGUUCCCCCGUGCCCACCCCCAUCUGGAAGCACAGCUGAUCACUUUCUCCUUGGUAGAACAGCAUGCCUCACAUAUACCCCUGUUAUGCAUUUUGUUACAUGUCAUUUGAAUUAUGUAUCUCUCUACGUAAUUGUUUCAACUAUAAGAUGCACAAAUUCCUUGAGGUUGAGAACCAGGUCUUCUUUAUUUUUUUAACCCCAGGGCCAUGCACAGGCCCUGGUUGUAUCUGGCACGUUCCUGGCAGGAAGCAGAUGAUGCCUUCAAACUGGGUAAUCAAGGGCAGUUUAACAAUAUUAUAGGCCAUGUGCAUUGCUUACGCCUGUAAUCCCGGCACUUUCGGAGGCUGAGGCAGGAGGAUCACUUGAGCCCAGGAGUUCCAGGCUGCAGUGAGCUGUGAUCAUGCCACUGCACUCCAGCCUGGGUGACAGAGUGAGACCUUGUCUCAAAAAAAAGAAAAACAGAAAACCCCAAAGGUACUAUUACAAAAGUGUAGGCAGGGUUCUGUGAAAGUAACAGGGAAUGGUGUGGUAUACCCAAGUUAAUAACGGAAUGGUGGAGGGGCAAAUGGAGAGAAUGGUCACCAAAACCCAGGGAAAAGCUUUUAGUAGAGGACACAGUCAAUCCGUAGUGACCCAGCAAGGGAGGAAUUGGAAAUAGUGACCUCAACUUCGUUUUUCUCCAUCCUUUGAUCUCCUGCCCAUGUUUUCUAUUGGCUGAAUCUAACCAGAAUGCAGAGGGCAAGAGAGCCCAUUGCUGCGGUCCAUACAGGUCUGCCUCCCUGGUCUGAAGACAGCUAGAUGGGGCAAAUGGAAGUUAUCCAGUAUGGGAUCCCCUCAAGCAUUCACCCUUAUCCUUUUGCCAGGUGAAAUACUUAUGUUCCCAGCAGAGGGCACCCACAAAAUUCCUAUUAACUGCUGUACCAUUGCAUGAUGACUUCAAUUCAGUCAUAGUCUAACCUCGAGUCUAAAAUGGUAGCCAUUGCCAGUGCCCAUCAUUGAAGGUAUGAAGGAGGGGGAGAUUCAAGGAGACUGGAGUGAGGGGGCAAUUAAAAUAAUUACAAUGAAAUGUAACUCUGACUGAGCACAUUUCUGGAACAAGUCAUGGAGGCCACGCUGAUAAUCAUAGCUUCCUUCUUCCACCACCCAUUACCUCCUUCGGGCUGAGUGGGGUUUGUUACUUGGCAGGGUGAUCCAUACCUUCAUCUGUGAUCUGAGUCCUCGGUGAACCUGCCUCUCUGGGUUGCACCACUUUCCACCGACUGCUAGAAUAAGAGAUGCCUCAGUGAAUCUCUUGGAUGAGUCUCUCCUGUCGGGUAGCUGCAAAGGAAUUUCCUUCUAGUCAAUGGAGACAGCCAAUACAGUGACUGCUUUCUCUGCCUUUUGGUUUAGCAGCAUGAGGAGGCUCAGAUGGCUUAGGGUCACACUCAGUUUCAACUUCCAAUUGGAUGUUACUUUGUGUUCCUUGAUGGAAGUAUUUCUUCUAGGUCAGCCACUGAGCCCAAGGUCAAACAAAAAGCAAGAAUUCUUUCCAUGGUGAAUUAGUGUAAUAGUGCGAAGAACCACUCCUGCCUCCACCCCUCGGUUCCCAGGCUGAUGCAAUCUGAUUACGGGGGAGGUGGCAUCCUGGGCUGCUGCUGGUUUGAGGCAGUUACUGCAUCUUAUAGGAAAGCACCCCACCCUGCCAGGCAUUGCCCCUCAGCUGUCACUGUGUCUGUGUCUUCAGCAGGCCAUUCCACCAUCCAAUUAAUCCAUUUAUUUAUUUAUUUAUUUAGAUGGCGUCUCACUCUGUCACCCAGGCUGGAGUGCAGUGGCUCGAUCUUGUUUCACUGCAACCUCUGUCUCCCAGGUUCAAGCGAUUCUUCUGCCUCAGCCUCUCAGGUAGCUGGGACUACAGGUGCAUGCCACCAUGCCUAGCUAAUUUUUGUAUUUUUAGUAGAGAUGGGGUUUCACCAUAUUGGCCAGGCUGGUCUCAAACUCCUGACCUUGUGAUCUGCCCGCCUCGGCCUCCCAAAGUGCUGGGAUUACAGGCAUGAGCCACCGCGCCUGGCCCAAUUAAUCCAUAUUUUUCUAGGGAAUGAAUCGUGAUAAAACCAGUGAAUUCCAUGGUUAUGAGCCCGCUGUCACAUUGCCACCUCUGAAAAGUGUAUCCCUUGCAGGGAGAUGUUUGAGUUUUGACACCAUUUGGGAUAGACAAGACAUUCUUUAAGUCCAUGAACUUUGGUGCUGGCAGACAUACUGGGGACAGGAAAGGCAAAUCCAUACUUGGAGCAAAUAUUUGUCUCUGUGAGGCUAAUUCUGCCUCCUACCUGAUGAAAGGGAUCCAAAGUUAUCUACCUGCAAUCAGAUGUCUUUGCUGGGUCUCUUUAAGGAACGGUGCCAUUUUAGGGUCUUAGUGUUGAUCUGCUGUGGCCGAUUGGACAUUGAGUUCUGGCAGAGGCCAGAUCAGUCUUGGUGAGAGUGUGCUACUGAGCCCAUGCAUAGCGUCCAUCCCUGCCAUAUGUGUGCUUUGUUCAUGGGCCAAUUAAGCAAGUACGUGGGAAGUGAGGGAAAGAGACUGAUAGAUAUCCACAGAUUGGAUCAUCUUGACCACAUGAUUAUUGUUAGAAACAGAAUUGUGGCCCCCAAAUUCAUAUAGUGAAGCCCUAAUUCCCCCAUGUGACUGUAUUUGGAGACAGGAGAUAAUUGAGAUCAUAAGGGUUGAGGCCUAAUCUCAUAGGAUCGCUGUCCUUAUAAGAAGUGGAAGAAACAUCAGAGAGCUCUCCCUCUCCACACACACAGAGGAAAGGCCACAUGGGGACAAGAGAGGGCAACUGUCUACAAAUCUGGAAGAGAGACUUCAGAAGAAACCAGCACUGAUGGCAUCUGAUCUUGGACUUCCAGCCUCUGGAUCUAUCUGCCAGAGCCUGAUCUCAUACACACUGAUGUGGUACAGGAAAUGCCACCUGAAAAUAUGGUACCUUGGCAUUUGAGGAAACAGUAGAAGGAGGUCAUAGAAACUAGAAAGAAUUCCUCCUUGCUCUUUGUCCCCCAAAGGAGCCAUAAAACCUGGGCCGAGUUUCUUCUGAAAAUAAGUUAUAAGAUCCUUAUUCCAGAGGGGUCCUGCCCUGUGCCUGGAGGAAAAGAAUGAAGACACAGAGAUGCCUUGAAGAAUCUGAACAAACAGCCCUUGCUAAGUUCCCCCCAGUUUAUUGACAUUAGAUUAGACCUUUUGUCCUCCAAUUAUACUUCUGUGUUCCUGAAAAUACACAUUUUCCCGUUUUUUCUUUUGUUUGCUUUUUUUGAUCUUCAUUUCUGAAGAUUCCCAUGUCAUGUAAAAUAUAUGUUAAACAAAU
rnacentral:lncRNA from 10 species